rnacentral:lncRNA from 1 species
GCUGGACUCCUAGGUAACAACCUUAGGACAUGUGUCUUAAAAUUGGGUGGGGUCCACCCUAAAAAAAAUAAAACCCUAGGGUGACAAGUGUCAUCUAUUCUAACAUUUUGGGCCUAAACUAUUUUACCAAAAAUUGUCCCAUUGUUUACAAAUUUAAUUAAAACUAUCUAGACUACUAAGUUUCAAAGUAAUUAAAUUUGAAAUGUCCAUGUGAAGAGUCUUGACUUAUUUGAUAGCACUCCAAUUGUCCCAAAUUGAAUUUCCAAAAAUUUCCCUG